GAUUUUCUGGAUCCAAGCCUCUUAACUUACUAAACUUGGACAAAUUAUUUUAAUUUUACUGGUCUUAAAAAAUCUUUUAGUUAAAAUUAGAAGGACAUAAACUUAAUGGCAACCUUACUAUUUUACUAAUGAGGAAACUCAAUGCUCAGUUGGAGAUAACUUCCUACAGGCUUCAAGAAAUUGCUCAAGGACAUAAAAUACUAAAGAGCAGAAGUGGGAUUUAAAUCUGAAUCUACUUUAUUUUAGUGUUUGUGCAAGUGUCUCCUGAUGCAUUUGCUGACAUGGAAGGGAAGUAGGUGGAGAUGGUUAAUCAGUAUUUUCCAGCCAUCCAAACAAGCCCUAAUGUUGACUUUCAGCCAUUGUGACAAGUCAUCAUCAUCAAUCACCAGGUCUUUUCAACAAGAGGGUCCAUGUCAUGGCCUCCUGUCUCCAUAUAUAAAGGGAGUGAUGAAUGGCUCAUUUGGAAAAUGGACUUGGGGAUAAGGAGGGGGAGCAGACAGAGGCUGCUAUUUCAACAAGAGUCCCUCUGAUGGCCAAAGUUGGGGAACAUAAGAGAGUGAGAGCCUGUGGAUGUAGGUGUUCAGCAUGUCAUCUGAAGGAUUCACCACAGAGACAAAAACCAAAGAAGUCAUGCCAUCAAAAGAACAGGAGGAUAAGUCAGCAUCAUAUGUCAAUGCUCUGGUGGAAGAAGCUUUUUGAAUCCAUGUUUUCCCCUGACACGCUCUCUCCCACAACCAAUGAUGAGAUAACCUUCUUUCGGCGCAGGCCCAAGACCAUCAUAAUCAUCAUUGAUUUUUCAUCUCUGCCCCAAGUCUCUGAAUAAAAUUUCUUUCCUUUCACUGACAAAUGUUG